GACGAACGCUGGCGGCGUGGAUUAGGCAUGCAAGUCGAACGGUAUCAUCCUUUCGGGGGUGAGAGAGUGGCGAACUGGUGAGUAACACGUAGGUUAUCUACCCUCAAGACGGGGACAACCCAGGGAAACUUGGGCUAAUACCGGAUGUGAGCAACUUUUAGUUGUUUGAAAGGUGGCGUAAGCUGUCGCUUGGGGAUGAGCCUGCGUCCUAUUAGUUAGUUGGUGAGGUAACGGCUCACCUAGGCAAUGAUAGGUAGGCGGCCUUAACGGGUGGUCGCCCACACUGGGAUUGAGAUACGGCCCAGACUCCUACGGGAGGCAGCAGUCGAGAAUAGUCUACAAUGGUCGGAAGACUGAUAGUGCGACGCCGCGUGAACGAUGAAUCCCUUCGGGGUGUAAAGUUCUUUUAUAUGUGAGCAGUGCUUCUUAUAUUAACAGUAAUGGGGAAGAGAUAUUAGCAUAUGAAUAAGCAACGGCUAACUCCGUGCCAGCAGCCGGGGUU
rnacentral:rRNA from 1 species